rnacentral:tRNA from 1 species
GGAGUAACUCAGUGGUAGGGUGCAUGCUUAGCAUGCAUGAGGUCCUGAGUUCAAUCCCCAGUACCUCCA